rnacentral:tRNA from 1 species
CGGGCUGUGGCGUAGUCUGGUAGCGCGCUUGCAUGGGGUGCAAGAGGUCGAGAGUUCGAAUCUCUCCAGUCCGACCA